UAUUCAGUUCACUUUCACGGAGAAGGGUCGAGCUGCUGCUGAGAGGAGGAUGAUGUGGCGGCGGAGAGAAUGUGCCUCUUAUCUCUUCCCAGAGGACCUGUGCCCUAGGACCAUGCCUCAGGACUACCUGGCCUGAUGACUCCUGGCUGUCCCAGUCCCCAGUCAAACUUGUUAUGCUGCUGCUCAAGUUUCAACUGUUCUGCUUGCGUUCUUUGGCUGUCCAAAGUUCUACCUGGAGAUAUACCUGGAACCAAAAAUAGUUCUUCAAAGGGUUCUCAAAUGGAGACAGCCAAAGAUAGAUAGCGCCUUUUUUUCUUAGAGUGUAGUCUUAGAAUCUCCACCCGGCCCAGCCAGAAGAGGAUUGACCACACCUCAGAGCCUGGUUCCUUAUUAGGUUCCUGCCUUUCUAGGGAGUUUUCCUAGCCACAGAGCUUUUACAUCUGCAUCGCUUGCUGUUUGGAGUUUUAGGCUGGGUUUCUGUAUAAGCACGUUGUGACAUCUGCUGAUGUAAAACAGGCUUUAUUCAGUUGAAGUUGGAAGUUUACAUACACUUAGGAUGGAGUCAUUAAAACUAGUUUUUCAACCACUCCACAAAUUUCUUGUUAACAAACUAUAGUUUUGGCAAGUCGGUUAACAUCUACAUUGUGCAUGACACAAGUAAUUUUUCUAACAAUUGCUUACAGACAGAUUAUUUCACUUAUAAUUCAAUGUAUCACAAUUCCAGUGGGUCAGAAGGAGACGUGUUCUGUCUCCUAGAGAUGAAUGUACUUUGGUGCGAAAAGUGCAAAUCAAUCCCAGAACAACAGCAAAAAACCUUGUGAAGCUGCUGGAGGAAACAGGUACAAAAGUAUCUAUAUCCACAGUAAAACAAGUCCUAUUUUGACAUAACCUGAAAGGCUGCUCAGCAAGGAAGACGCCACUGCUCCAAAACCGCCAUAAAAAAGCCAGACUACGGUUUGCAACUGCACAUGGGGACAAAGAUCGUACUUUUUGGAGAAAUGUCCUCUGGUCUGAAGAAACAAAAAUAGAACUGUUUGGCCAUAAUGACCAUCGUUAAGUUUGGAGAAUAAAGGGGGAGGCUUGCAAGCCGAAGAACACCCUCCCAACCGUGAAGCACGGGGGUGGCAGCAUCAUGUUGUGGGGGUGCUUUGCUGCAGGAGGGACUGGUCCACUUCACAAAAUAGAUGGCAUCAUGAGGCAGGAAAAUUAUGUGGGUAUAUUGAAGCAACAUCUCAAGACAUCAGUCAGGAAGUUGAAGUUUGGUCGCAAAUGGGUCUUCCAAAUGGACAAUGACCCCAAGCAUACUUCUAAAGUUGUGGCAAAAUGGCUUAAGGACAACAAAGUCAAGGUAUUGGAGUGGCCAUCACAAAGCCCUGACCUCAACCCUAUAGAAAAUUUGUUGGCAGAACUGAAAAAGCAUGUGCGAGCAAGGAGGCCUACAAACCUGACUCAGUUACACCAGCUCUGUCAGGAGUAAUGGGCCAAAUUUCACCCAACUUAUUGUGGGAAGCUUGUGGAAGGCUACCCAAAACAUUUGACCCAAGUUAAAGAAUUUAAAGGCAAUGCUACCAAUCACUAAUUGAGUGUAUGUAAACGUCUGAGCCACUGGGAAUGUGAUGAAAGAAAUUAAAGCUGAAAUAAAUCAUUCUCUCUACUAUUAUUCUGACAUUUCACAUUCUUCAAAUAAAGUGGUGAUCCUAACUGACCUAAGACAGAGAAUUUUUACUAGCAUUAAAUGUCAGGAAUUGUGAAAAACUGAGUUUAAAUGUAUUUGGCUAAGGUGUAUGUAAACUUCCGACUUCAACUGUAAAUACAUUUGAUUGAUUGAUUGAUUGAUUAACAAAAGAAAUUAGUGCCAAAAGGGUCAAUGCAGAUAUUCUGGAUAGCUAUUGGUUAACUAUUUAAUUAACAAUUUAGGAGUCUUAUACUUUGGGGGUAGAAGCUGUUCAGGAUCCUGUUGAUUCCAGACUUGGUGCAUUGCUACCGCUUGCCAUGCAGAGUCAGAGGGAACAGUCUGACUUGGGUGGCUGGAAUCUUUUACAAUUUUUAGGGCCUUCUUCUGACACCGCCUGGUAUAAAAGUCCUGGAUGGUAAGGAGCUCGGCCCCAGUAAUGUACUAAGCCGUAUGCAUAUCGUCUGUAGUGCCUUGCUGUCGGAUGCCAAGAAGUUGCCAUACCAAGUGGUGAUUCAGCCAGUCAAGAUGCUCUCAAUGGUGCAACUGUAUACCUUUUUGAGGAUCUAAGGGACCAUGACAAAUCUUUUCAGCCAACUGAGGGGGAAGAGGGAUUUCCAUGCCCUCUGCGUGACUGUGUUGAUGUGUUUGAACCAUGACAGUUCCUUAGUGAUGUGGACACACAGGAACUUGAAGCUCUCGACAUGUUCCACAACAGCCUAGUUGAUGUGCCUACUACAUGCUGUAUCUAUUUUACCAGACUGGACACCUGAUGGCUUAGACCUCUUCUUAUCACCAGCUGUCAGAGCAGCUCACAGAUUACUGCACCUGUACAUAGCCCAUCUAUAAUUUAGCCUAAACAACUACCUCUCCCCCUACUGUAUUUAUUUAUUUAUUUUGCUCCUUUUCACCCCAUUAUUUCUAUUUCUACUUUGCACAUUCUUCCACUGCAAAUCUACCAUUCCAGUGUUUUACUUGCUAUAUUGUAUUUUUUUGCCUUUCCCUCCCUUAUCUCACCUCAUUUGCUCACAUUGUAUAUAGACUUUUUUUCCUACUGUAUAAUUGACUGUAUGUUUGUUUUACUCCAUGUGUAACUCUGUGUUGUUGUAUGUGUCGAACUGCCUUUGCUUUAUCUUGGCCAGGUCGCAAUUGUAAA